AAAUUGAAGAGUUUGAUCAUGGCUCAGAUUGAACGCUGGCGGCAGGCCUAACACAUGCAAGUCGAACGGUAACAGGAAGCAGCUUGCUGCUUUGCUGACGAGUGGCGGACGGGUGAGUAAUGUCUGGGAAACUGCCUGAUGGAGGGGGAUAACUACUGGAAACGGUGGCUAAUACCGCAUAACGUCGCAAGACCAAAGAGGGGGACCUUCGGGCCUCUUGCCAUCAGAUGUGCCCAGAUGGGAUUAGCUGGUUGGUGAGGUAACGGCUCACCAAGGCGACGAUCCCUAGCUGGUCUGAGAGGAUGACCAGCCACACUGGAACUGAGACACGGUCCAGACUCCUACGGGAGGCAGCAGUGGGGAAUAUUGCACAAUGGGCGCAAGCC
rnacentral:rRNA from 1 species